AAUCGUAACAAGGUUUCCGUAGGUGAACCUGCGGAAGGAUCAUUGUCGAAACCUGCCCGGCAGAACGACCCGCGAACUCGUGAUUGACCUCGGGGGGGCGGUCCGGCGCAGGGAGCUCCGGCUUCCCGCGUCGGCCCCCUCCCUGCCGCGGGGGGCGGCGAGAUCUCGCUCGCUCCUCGCGGCAGAACAACGAACCCCCGGCGCGAGCUGCGCCAAGGAAAAUUAAACGAGAGAGGGCGCUCCCGCAGCCCCGGACACGGAUCGGCGCGCGGGAUGCGUCCCCUUCUUUCGAAGAAAAUCCAAAACGACUCUCGACAACGGAUAUUUCGGCUCUCGCAUCGAUGAGAAAUGCGAUACUUGGUGUGAAUUGCAGAAUCCCGUGAACCAUCGAGUCUUUGAACGCAAGUUGCGCCCCAAGCCUUUAGGCCGAGGGCACGUCUGCCUGGGUGUCACGCAUCUUUGCCCCCCCCACACCCUUUCCCCCUCUUGGGGGAUGGUCGGAGGGGCGGAAACUGGCCUCCCGUGCGCUCCAGCUCGCGGUUGGCACAAAUUUGAGUCCCUCGGCGACCGUGCCGCGACGAUCGGUGGUGGAACAUGCCUCUCGAGCUCCCGUCGCGCGCUCGCGUCCCGUGUCACGGGCUCGCGGACCCUUGUUAGCGUCCUCUCCUAGAGACGGCGCUCGCUUUGCGACCCCAGGUCAGGCGGGACUACCCGCUGAGUUUAAGCA
rnacentral:sRNA from 1 species